rnacentral:rRNA from 1 species
CACGAGUUUGAUCCUGGCUCAGAACGAACGCUGGCGGCAUGCCUAACACAUGCAAGUCGAACGAGACCUUCGGGUCUAGUGGCGCACGGGUGCGUAACGCGUGGGAACCUGCCUUUAGGUUCGGAAUAACUCAGAGAAAUUUGAGCUAAUACCGGAUAAUGUCUUCGGACCAAAGAUUUAUCGCCUUUAGAUGGGCCCGCGUUGGAUUAGCUAGUUGGUGGGGUAAAGGCCUACCAAGGCGACGAUCCAUAGCUGGUCUGAGAGGAUGAUCAGCCACACUGGGACUGAGACACGGCCCAGACUCCUACGGGAGGCAGCAGUGGGGGAAUAUUGGACAAUGGGCGAAAGCCUGAUCCAGCAAUGCCGCGUGAGUGAUGAAGGCCUUCGGGUUGUAAAGCUCUUUUACUCGGGACGAUAAUGACGGUACCGAGAGAAUAAGCCCCGGCUAACUCCGUG